UCCUCACUAGCUCAGUCAGUGGAGCAUGUGACUCUUGAUCUUGGGGUUGUGGGUUCAAGUCCCAUGCUGGGUG
rnacentral:tRNA from 1 species